CUCAGAGCCCCAGCCCCCGCCCCUCCCCGCCGCCGGCCCGGGCUCCCUCCGAAGGGCCUGGCCCACUGCACGCUGGCUGACCUGCCCGCUCGCCCCACGGACAGCUGCUCCCCUCCUUCGCCCGGGACCCAAGGCCCGGCCCUUCGGCCGGAUGGAUGGACGGAUAUUGGCCCCGGCAGAUGGACAGGCGGACGGUCGGUCGGCUGCCGGCCGGCUCCUGGAACCUGGGCCCCUCCAUACUACCCAUUUCCUGGGCCCUCCCGAUCCAGGAAACAAGACGGGCGGGGCGUGGGCCGGCCAGGAGCCCUCAAGACAGUCCCGGGGCGCGGCGCCGCCCAGAGGGGGCAAGAACCCGUGUCCCGAGGUAGAGAGAAAAAGCAACGGAGACAAAGCAAGCCGACCGACCGCUCCAGCCCGAACGUGCACCCACCUCACCUCACUGUCUCGGGGGGCUUCUCCUGGCCUGAGAGGGACCUGGCGGGGAAGGCAUCCAAGCGGAAGCGGAAUCCUGACACCUUGGCUGCAGGAGCUCUCCGGUUUGACGACGAGGCCCCCCGCCCCGUGUCCUGGACUCCUGUGGGGAAGGGUGGCCUUGGAAAGGCCACCUGGCGGGCCUGAUGCCCUCCUGCUGCACGCUGGUCGCUCCGCGUGGGGUUGGCGCAAGGGUGAGGGGGGCGGAGGGGGGCGGGAGGGGCGGCCAGACCCCGGGCUGGGCUGGGCUGGGCCUAGGUCUGCAGGGGGCUCCGGGGAAAGGGAGCCUGGGGCCUUGACCCCUCCGGGGCCACGCCCCCCAACCCCCGCCCAGCUGCGAGUGAGCGAGCGGCCUGUGGAUUGCCGAGCGCAGACGGGCCUGCCGAGCGCCCCCCGUCCUGGCAUGGCAUGGGAGAGUGGCGAGACUUCCACCACCCUCCGGGUGCCAGAGGCCUCUGGUCCCCUGGGUCGGCAGCGGGGCCCUGCGGCGGCGGGCUGCGUGGGCAGAGGCGCCCGCAGAGGGGCAGGCCAAGCGCCAGGCGGCCCGGAGGCCCCGGAGGCCCGGAGGCCCGGAGGCCCGGAGGCCCGGAGGCGCGGCGGCGGGCUCUUGGGGCGGCGCGCCCAAAAAAAAAAAAAAAAAAAAGGACCAUCAGGAGAGAAAUCCAGAAGUCAAGGAGAGAAGAGAAGGUGAGUGGAAACAGAUGCCAGGUACCCU
rnacentral:lncRNA from 9 species